rnacentral:snRNA from 1 species
GUGCUUGCUUCGGCAGCACAUAUACUAAAAAUUGGAACUAUACAGAGAAGAUUAGCAUGGCCCCUGCGCAAGGAUGAC